rnacentral:rRNA from 2 species
AGAUUAAACUGAAGAGUUUGAUCAUGGCUCAGAUUGAACGCUGGCGGCAGGCUUAACACAUGCAAGUCGAGCGGUAACAGAUCUAGCUUGCUAGAUGCUGACGAGCGGCGGACGGGUGAGUAACGCGUAGGAACCUGCCCAGUAGUGGGGGAUAGCCCGGUGAAAACCGGAUUAAUACCGCAUACGCUCUACGGAGGAAAGGGGGCU